UAAUACGUAGGGUGCGAGCGUUAAUCGGAAUUACUGGGCGUAAAGCGUGCGCAGGCGGUGAUGUAAGACAGAUGUGAAAUCCCCGGGCUCAACCUGGGAACUGCGUUUGUGACUGCAUCACUCGAGUACGGCAGAGGGAGGUGGAAUUCCGCGUGUAGCAGUGAAAUGCGUAGAUAUGCGGAGGAACACCGAUGGCGAAGGCAGCCUCCUGGGCCAGUACUGACGCUCAUGCACGAAAGCGUGGGGAGCAAACAGG
rnacentral:rRNA from 1 species